AUUGAACGCUGGCGGCAGGCCUAACACAUGCAAGUCGAACGUGUGGCGGACGGGUGAGUAAUGUCUGGGACACUGCCUGAUGGAGGGGGAUAACUACUGGAAACGGUAGCUAAUACCGCAUACCAUCAGAUGUGCCCAGAUGGGAUUAGCUAGUUGGUGGGGUAACGGCUCGCCAGGGCGACGAUCCCUAGCUGGUCUGAGAGGAUGGCCAUCCACACUGGAACGGAGACACGUUCCAGACUCCUACGGGAGGCAGCAGUGGGGCUGAUUGCACCAUGGGCGCAAGACUGAUGCAGCCAUGCCUAGUGGAUGAAGAAUGCCUUCGGGUUGUAAAGUACGUGCGGCCGGGAGGCGUCACUCUCAGAAGAAGCACCGGCUAACUCCGUGCCAGCAGCCGCGGUAAUUC
rnacentral:rRNA from 1 species